CAGUUUUGUUAUAUAACGUGUGUGAGCACAGCUGCUUUCUUAUCACAAGACCCAAAAUGAAUACAUCACAUACUGAAGGACAGAGUUACCUUCCCUUCUGCCUCCUAAUAAAUCCCCCUUUAUGGGCUACUGCCUGUGAGUCAUUCACAAAACAAGAAGGAAAUUGUCUGCAGGACAUAACACAAGGAAGUGGCACCAAACCUUCCCCACCUUCGUUCCUCACCCCUACAUCACUUUCUAAAUGCUGUUUUCCUGAGGCAGCAGGAAGGAGAUCUGCUCUGUUCCUUGAGGCACUGACAGAAUAACACAAACAGUUUUUACAGAAGGUAAUAACAGCAGCCACCCAGCCGAGUGCCUGAUGUGGGGAAUCCUUGGGUGCCAUUUCCAAUGCAAGCGUGUACAGUGAGUUUUGCAGAAAAUAUGAGAAAGCUGUCUCUAACCCACUCAACCUGAGAGUAUUACCGAGUGAGUUCUGCAACCUACUGCAGACAUCCAUGGUGACAUUAUGACCUACAUGACAUCAAUUCACACCUCUCUCUGUCAGCAGAACUCAAACAGUACAUUAAAAUCUCACUUACUACGUACCCAAAGCAUAUGCAUUUUGACUGCUGUCUACCUUCUAAGAGAAGCUGAAUGUUAAAUACCUCACCAGAAGAGCCCACAUUUUAAGCAAAGUUUUCCAAACUUCUGACAUCUGGUCAGUUCAACUUAGUGUUCACCAAUUGACAUGAUGGCCAUCUUCCAGGUGGCAAGAUCUUCAGUAUUUUGGGGGAUAUCUCUCAAUAUUGCUUCGUGCAACAGUUCAUCAAUCCCCAUACUACAGGUAGAGACAAAGGAAUCCCACAGAACUCAUCUAAGAAACUUCAAUGGCUGCAAAGCCUAAAAUAGUAUCACUGGAGGAUACUAUGGAUCACAGAAACCUCAUAGAAGGUGUGCAAAAUCAUUAGUUCAAAAUGGAACCUUACCUUGUAGCAACGAGGUCAGUGGACUGAGAACUGAGGCACUCCUGUCUGUUUGCCAUGGAGACAGCAUUGGACAGUUGUUGUUUUUUUUUCUUUUUUUUUCUCAGUUGUAAUUAUCUCUGAAAUAAUUAAACAAGAUCAAUAUCACAGAGAGGCAGUGAGAAUUACUGGGAUCUGUAGUGUGUUUUGAAACACUAAAAAAAAAAAGCACUUAUCUAGUCCUGACUACAAAUAUCCACCACGACAACAUCACCAUAUAUUAC